rnacentral:rRNA from 1 species
UACAGAGGGUGCGAACGUUGCUCGGAAUUACUGGGCGUAAAGCGCGUGUAGGCGGGUCGGCAAGUCAGGCGUGAAAUCCCCAGGCUCAACCUGGGAACUGCGCUUGAAACUGCCGGUCUUGAGUAUCGGAGAGGGUGGCGGAAUUCCUGGUGUAGAAGUGAAAUUCGUAGAUAUCAGGAGGAACACCGGUGGCGAAGGCGGCCACCUGGACGAUUACUGACGCUGAGACGCGAAAGCGUGGGGAGCAAACAGG